rnacentral:rRNA from 1 species
UACGUAGGGUGCGAGCGUUGUCCGGAAUUACUGGGCGUAAAGAGCUCGUAGGUGGUUUGUCGCGUUGUUCGUGAAAUCUCACGGCUUAACUGUGAGCGUGCGGGCGAUACGGGCAGACUAGAGUACUGCAGGGGAGACUGGAAUUCCUGGUGUAGCGGUGAAAUGCGCAGAUAUCAGGAGGAACACCGGUGGCGAAGGCGGGACUCUGGGCCGAUACUGACGCUGAGGAGCGAAAGCGUGGGGAGCAAACAGG